GCUGGGGCAGGGCCCGUGGCCCGGCACCACCGGCCCGGCCCGGCCCGGCCCGGCCCUGCCCGGGAAAGCUCUCCCAGGGCAACGGGGCGGCCCCGGGCCGGCAGCCGCUCACACGGAGCUCUGCGUGCGGGUGACUGGAAGGGUUUUCCGGAGCAGCCUGUGCCAUCCCCGGGGCUGUAGCGCACUCGCCGCAGCCCCCGGGCACCGCCGGGCCCAGGGCCGUGGCCGCCACCGCCACAAGGGUCUGCCCUGUUGCCAGGGGCCCUCGGCCCCUCCGGCAGCGCCCCGGCAGCGCGGGGUCCCUCGGCUCCGUGGGCAGCCCCGCUCUCCCUGCAGCGCAGCGCCCUGCCCAAGGCCCACGGACCGGCCCGGGGCAGCCAGCGUCGGGCAGCUGCCUCCCAACUCAGCCCUCGCUGCUUCGGCCUCCCCGCAGGGAGCGGGAUGAAGGAACUGAGACGGACAAACUUCCCCCGAACAAACCGAACGGAGCCGUUUUGAUCAAAAACGUGCGGGAACAAACCGCGUGAACAACCAUGCAGCCUCUCCCCUACCUUAUCAUUCCAAUUACAUUCUCCUAAUCUACAAAAUUGAAAGAUAAUAUUCACCAGAAAAAGAGAAUUCAAACUCUACAGAUUAGACCUUCAUUGGUGCACAUUCCUCUAUCAACAACUCGUCUGUCCCAGCUGUGGUAUUCAGAAGAGUGUUUCCAGUUCUUUGGGAAAUCUUUCUAAGAAUUACUACAAGACCCUCCUUUGUCCUCCAUCCUGCAACAUCAUGAAGGUCCUGUAAUCAUACUGAGAAUUUGCUUCUCUUGUGAAUAUCCUCAGUGUUCAAGUGUAUUUCCAGGAAGGAUGUGCAGCACUGAGAGUCUGAGCAGAACACAGCGCUUGAUCCUUCGGGGGACCCUCUCGCAAGUCCAUUUUGAAUUCCUCUGAAGUUUAAAAAAAAAUACCUAAACUCACUGAAAAAUGAAGAGCUGAUCCAGGCUGAUGUUCUCCCAGUCCUUUUUACAUGCCCCAUCUCCAGAGUGCCAAUGCACUCAAGCACUUAAGAUGUAAACCUUCCGUGACACAGACCAUGAACGUACACAAGAAAAAAGGCUUAGACACAACAGCCACCCCCAGGAACCAGCAGGUUUACUCCCUGCUCUCUGCAGUGCCUUUUGCCACUACACCAACCAUUUUGUCCUCAGUCUUGUCAAGUGAAGGCACAACACUUAGGAAAAUACAUCUCUCUUUUUUUCUGGUCUGCAAGUCAGCAUUAUCUGAUUUGGUCUACUUCCUACAGCUUGUUCAGUCUCGCUUAUCAGACACACUGGAAAAUAUUUCCAAUAAUAAGCCAGUAGAAAUCUGCCUUCAUAUCUGGUGUCAGGCUACAUAUAACAGAAAUCUUUUCAUUUUAGUUUUAAAGUAUUGCUUCAUUCAACAAGCCGACUGCUGGCUGACACACAGUCUAAUCUAAAGGCUAUGGAUCAGCCGGUAAAUGCAGAAAUUCUAUUAGUUUCCAGACCUGAGGUUUACGCCUUUCAUUUCAAAUGAAAUCAAAAUCCUACACAUGAAUAGGUAAAGCACAGAGUAAAGAUCCUUUCUUGAAACCAUCCACUACAUAUUACAUGAGUGCAAGGAAGAAAGCAGUUUCUGCAUCUUGUAGAUACUGUAUUUCUUGUGCUCAAUGACUCUGGCAAGGAUGGUAAACAGCAGACAUAAAAGAGAUCCAUUUUGAGGAAAAAUUAAAACCAUGACGAACAUUAUAUUAGGCAACGUGAAAUCCUGCAAAGGUACAAAGACAGGCAUAUUCAGAUAUGCUUGGUAUUAACAAAACCUCUCUAAGCUUGGAUAAAUUUGACUUUCUUACCUAAAUUCGAUUUUAAAAGUCAUAAUCAAACUUGUCUAUGCUUUAAACGUUUUGGAAAUGAGCAUCCUCAUUUAGGACCAGUAGAAGGAAAUAGUGCAAAAGUGCAUAUUACAAAGUAUCCAGAAUAUUGAGAAGAGUAUUUCUUUUUCCAAACUGAAAGAAACACCACCAACAAAAAGAGAUUUCAUUCCUUUGUUCUUUCUAGAAGUGUACAUAUCCAGCUUUAUAUAUAAAUACAAGAGAUUUAGGAGUGAUUGACUCCUAACUUCAUUUUGCUGUUAGCUCUAAAGAUAUAUGUUCACUGGAAGUUCCCAGAGCACAGGCAUCAGCAUUUUGACACAGUAUAUGGAAUGAAUCCCCAAAUUAAUAGCAGAGAGUAUAAUUCACUUCUGGUGUGGUUUUCCUUCACAAUGGUGGAUCAUGAUAAUCUUAGAGCAAGAAAAUCAAUUGUGAUUACAUGAUCACACUAAUAGUGGUUUGAUUAUUUUUGCUGUAGGUCUUAUUCUGUGCAUUCAGUUAAGGAAAUUGUUCCAUGGCUUUGCUAUUUAUUCAGGAAAAAAAAUACAGAAUAAAAGCAUGACUUUUUGUUCCUUGAAAAUUUAGCUGUAAUAUUUGUCUUUGGAGUAUGUCAUUAAACAGUAAAGAAGCUU